GUGGACAAAAUUUUAAGACGCGUUAGGGUUAGUAUAGGGAUUUCAUGGAUGAAUUUUUAGAAGGCGUCGAGCAUUGAAUGGCUUCAGAGUACACUACCCCUUCCAUUUACCGGCGAUUGGUUUCCCCUAUCAGUUUCACUUGAAGCCUACUACUUUAAGCCCACUUUUGAGAAGGAAUCCCAAACACGCCCCGGUCAGUUUUCUGAAACCCUAAUUUUUCUAUUUAUGGUGAACGGGAUACUGUAAUGGAUGAAUUGAGGGAAACGGGAGUAGAGGAAGAGUAUCAGAUUCAGUUGGCGUUCAGUGCUAAGGAGGAUUUGAAGGGUAUUCAGAUUGAAGUUGUUAAUUAGAUCAGUUUGGGUUCUGUUCUGGAGAAUAAUCCGGCUAAAUUCGUUGUGUGUUCGUUAUUGGGCUUGUAUAUUGAUUGUGAAACCAUCCGCGAUAGUGCUUCUUCCUAAACGAUUAUGUGAUCCCGAUUUUAUCUUAUUCUUCUUCUUUGAUUCUCCUGAUUGCAACUGCAGCAAGAUGAAAUUUAUGGUAUCAAGUUCGCUAACCAAGGCCUGUAACAAUUCAAUAUUACUUCUACAUCAUCAAGGAUGCGGGAAAGUUGCGGUGUUGCAUCUUGUUCUAUAAGAUUUGUUAAAAGAGUAUCCUCUCAUGAUCUUUUUGGGUUACCUUGCAAUCAAGGAGAAGAUACAAGAAAGAAGAACAGAACUUCAAAAGUAAAAGUAAAGCUGAAGAUCAGAGAGGAAAACCAAGAAGUGAAGAAAAAGUGAAAAACCAUUGCGGGGAAAUCAAAGGGACAGAGAACAAAAGGUAUCUAAAACCUCUUUUAGUCAAAGAUCGUGCAAAAAGAUGACAAAUUCAUCCACACCUUGUAUCCUGAAGAAGGUAUAUAUAUGGUGAAGUUUGAGCCGGGUUGACUUGAAGAAGAACAAGAAUUUGAGGUCCAUAGCAUCUUUUGUUUAUUCAUAUAAUUAAACCAAAAGAUAUGUUCUGAAUUAUUCAUAUAAUUAAAUCAAGGCUUUAAGCCUUUUCUGGGUUAGAGCAAGGGCUAAACAGGUCUCCUUGACCUGGUGUGGCAAGGUUUCAAUCUAUCUAGGGUGGGUUCGUAGCUUUGGAUGCAAUGGGUAUUAUGUUUAUUUUGUUUGUAAGGUGGUGUGUAUUCUGUACAUUUGGUGUAUGCUAGCUCCCAGCUAGCUUUGGUUGAAUAAAACUUUUUCGUUGGCCAAAAAAAAAAAAAAGAACACCGCAGUCAACUCCAUGAGUAUCUAAUU
rnacentral:lncRNA from 1 species